GAUGAACGCUGGCGGCGUGCCUAAUACAUGCAAGUCGAGCGAACGGACGAGAAGCUUGCUUCUCUGAUGUUAGCGGCGGACGGGUGAGUAACACGUGGAUAACCUACCUAUAAGACUGGGAUAACUUCGGGAAACCGUAGCUAAUACCGGAUAAUAUUUUGAACCGCAUGGUUCAAAAGUGAAAGACGGUCUUGCUGGCACUUAUAGAUGGAUCCGCGCUGCAUUAGCUAGUUGGUAAGGUAACGGCUUACCAAGGCAACGAUGCAUAGCCGACCUGAGAGGGUGAUAGGCCACACUGGAACUGAGACACGGUCCAGACUCCUACGGGAGGCAGCAGUAGGGAAUCUUCCGCAAUGGGCGAAAGCCUGACGGAGCAACGCCGAGUGAGUGAUGAAGGUCUUCGGAUCGUAAAACUCUGUUAUUAGGGAAGAACAUAUGUGUAAGUAACUGUGCACAUCUUGACGGUACCUAAUCAGAAAGCCCCGGCUAACUACGUG
rnacentral:rRNA from 1 species